rnacentral:rRNA from 1 species
AACGAACGCUGGCGGCGUGCCUAACACAUGCAAGUCGUGCGAGAAAGUUCCUUCGGGAGCGAGUAAAGCGGCGCACGGGUGAGUAACACGUAGGUAACCUGCCCCCCAGUCUGGAACAACUAGAGGAAACUCUAGCUAAUGCCGGAUGAGACCACGAUCCCUUCGGGGUUGCGGCCAAAGAUGGCCUCUACUUGUAAGCUAUCGCUGAGGGAUGGGCCUGCGGGCCAUUAGCUUGUUGGUGAGGUAACGGCUCACCAAGGCUGUGAUGGCUAGCUGGUCUGAGAGGAUGACCAGCCACACUGGGACUGAGACACGGCCCAGACUCCUACGGGAGGCAGCAGUGGGGAAUAUUGCGCAAUGGCGAAAGCCUGACGCAGCGACGCCGCGUGGGUGAUGAAGGCCUCGGUCGU